rnacentral:tRNA from 3 species
GGAGAGGUCGCAUAGUUGGUCUAGUGCGCGGCGCCGGAAACGCCGUAUACCCGAAAGGGUAUCGCGAGUUCGAAUCUCGCCCUCUCCGCAA